rnacentral:rRNA from 1 species
GACGAACGCUGGCGGCGUGCUUAACACAUGCAAGUCGAACGGUAAGGCCCUUCGGGGUACACGAGUGGCCAACGGGUGAGUAACACGUGGGUGAUCUGCCCUGCACUUUGGGAUAAGCCUGCGAAACUGGGUCUAAUACCGGAUAGUACCUUGCGCUUCACGGUGUGUGGUGGAAAGCUUUUGCGGUGUGGGAUGGGCCCGCGGCCUAUCAGCUUGUUGGUGGGGUAAUGGCCGACCAAGGCGACGGCGGGUAAGCGGCCAGAGAGGGUGACCGGCCACAGUGGGACUGAGAUACGGCCCGGACUCCUACGGGAGGCAGGAGUGGGGAAUAUUGCACAAUGGGCGCAAGCCUGAUGCAGCGCCGCCGCGUGAGGGAUGGCGGCCUUCGGGUUGUAAACCUCUUUCAGUAGGGACGAAGCGCAAGUGACGGUACCUACAGAGGAAGGACCGACCAACUACGUGCCAGCCGCCGCAGUAA